UACGGAGGGUGCGAGCGUUGUCCGGAAUCACUGGGCGUAAAGGGCGCGUAGGUGGCGCGGGCAGCCAACGGUGAAAGUUCGGGGCUCAACCCUGAAUCGGCCGUCGAUACUCCCGGGCUUGAGCACUGUAGAGGCAGAUGGAAUUCCGGGUGUAGCGGUGGAAUGCGUAGAGAUCCGGAAGAACACCGGUGGCGAAGGCGGUCUGCUGGGCAGUAGCUGACACUGAGGCGCGACAGCGUGGGGAGCAAACAGG
rnacentral:rRNA from 1 species